rnacentral:rRNA from 1 species
UACGUAGGGGGCAAGCGUUGUCCGGAUUUAUUGGGCGUAAGGAGCGUGUAGGCGGCUUGGAAGGUCAGCUGUGAAAACUCGAGGCUCAACCUCGAGACGUCGGUUGAAACCACCUGGCUAGAGUCCGGAAGAGGAGAGUGGAAUUCCCGGUGUAGCGGUGAAGUGCGCAGAUAUCGGGAAGAACACCCGUGGCGAAGGCGGCUCUCUGGGACGGUACUGACGCUGAGACGCGAAAGCGUGGGGAGCGAACAGG